rnacentral:lncRNA from 1 species
CUUGGGAUGGCCUGAACCAUCGCAGCCCUGAGUCAUAUGACACAGCAGUUUUCUUCAGCCCUGCCCGUGAGCUCCAACCAUCUCAGCUCCUUCAUGAUUGUUUCGUCAUCAUCACCAUCGUCACUGUCAUCAUCAUCAUCAUCACCACCAGUGAUUUCCUGAAUGCCAACCAAGCACCAGUCAUCAAGCGUGAGCCACGGUGCAAAGAUGGAGGCAGGCUCUCCAUUCUAAGGGAACCUCUCAGGCCAGUAGGGAAGGCAAGAUUCAGACACCAGGGACAGGCAGCCUGGGAUGACAGGUGGAACAAGGAGGAGACACAAGAACCCCCACCCCAACCCAGGAACCCACAUCACAGGCCAGACCUGCAUGAUCGCCAGGCACCCGACUCGGGUUAUGAAGGUGUCUCUCCUAAGAGAGUGGCAGAGGCAAACUUUAGCCUUGGCAGUGCGCCUCAAGCUGCUCAGGGGAGAAGUCACGGCCAAAGCCCUGGAGUGCAUGGGUUCUUUAGCCAUGGUUCUCCUGCAGCUUCCUCUGAUAUUAUGAAGCGCCUGCCGCCACCAGGCUUGUUCUGACUCCCUUCCAUGAUCCACCCUUCUGAGUGGGGUUUGGCUUCUGUACAGCUCUCCUGUGGGCACUGAGCCCACUAGUCAGAGCAAGAGGGCUCCAGUCUCUGGACAGUCACAGUGCUUGGUGGCAAAACAUAAAUUGUCAUUCAUUCAUGCCUUGUUUCUGUCAUUCACUCAUUCAUUCAGCAGAUACUUAACUGAACACCUGCUCUGGGCCAGGUAUUAUUCACACCACUGGGAAUACAGUGGUGCCAACACAGGUCCCUCCCUGACUUCAUGGGGCUAACAUUCCAGUGGGAGUGACAGAAAAGAUCCACAAAAUAACAUCACAUUGUGAAAAGUGCUAUGAAAGUGAAGGACGUAAGCACAGUAAUAUUAGUAAUAGAGUAGAGAGUGAGGAGGUGGUGAGCAAAGGCCUCAUAGAGGGAGUAACAUUUUUUCUUUAAUUUGAUGUAUACUUUACAUAUAGUAAAGUGCACAAAUCUUUUCUUUUUUUUUUUCUUUUUUUUUUUUUUUUUUUUUUGAGACAGAGUCUUGCUCUGUCGCCCAGGCUGGAGUGCAAUGGUAUGAUCUCGGUUCACUGUAACCUCCGCCUCCUGGGUUCAAGUGACUCUCCUGCCUCAGCCUCCCGAGUAGCUGAGACAAGAGGCUUGUGCCACCAUACCCGGCUAACUUUUGUAUUUUUAGUAGAGACGGGGUUUCACUAUGUUGGCCAGGCUGGUCUCGAACUCCUGACCUUGUGAUCCGCCCUCAUCAGCCUCCCAAAGUGUUGGGAUUACAGGCGUGAACCACUG